GGCCUAUCAGCUUGUUGGUGAGGUAAUGGCUCACCAAGGCGACGACGGGUAGCCGGCCUGAGAGGGCGACCGGCCACACUGGGACUGAGACACGGCCCAGACUCCUACGGGAGGCAGCAGUGGGGAAUAUUGCACAAUGGGCGAAAGCCUGAUGCAGCGACGCCGCGUGAGGGAUGACGGCCUUCGGGUUGUAAACCUCUUUCAGCAGGGAAGAAGCGAAAGUGACGGUACCUGCAGAAGAAGCGCCGGCUAACUACGUGCCAGCAGCCGCGGUAAUACGUAGGGCGCAAGCGUUGUCCGGAAUUAUUGGGCGUAAAGAGCUCGUAGGCGGCUUGUCACGUCGGUUGUGAAAGCCCGGGGCUUAACCCCGGGUCUGCAGUCGAUACGGGCAGGCUAGAGUUCGGUAGGGGAGAUCGGAAUUCCUGGUGUAGCGGUGAAAUGCGCAGAUAUCAGGAGGAACACCGGUGGCGAAGGCGGAUCUCUGGGCCGAUACUGACGCUGAGGAGCGAAAGCGUGGGGAGCGAACAGGAUUAGAUACCCUGGUAGUCCACCGCCGUAAACGGUGGGCACUAGGUGUGGGCAACAUUCCACGUUGUCCGUGCCGCAGCUAACGCAUUAAGUGCCCCGCCUGGGGGAGUACGG
rnacentral:rRNA from 1 species